rnacentral:tRNA from 1 species
CGGGAUGUGGCGCAGUCAGGUUAGCGUGCUGGUCUGGGGGACCAGAGGUCGGGAGUUCGAAUCUCCCCAUCCCGA